CGUAGGGUGCGAGCGUUAAUCGGAAUUACUGGGCGUAAAGCGUGCGCAGGCGGUUUUGUAAGACAGAUGUGAAAUCCCCGGGCUCAACCUGGGACCUGCAUUUGUGACUGCAAGGCUAGAGUACGGUAGAGGGGGAUGGAAUUCCGCGUGUAGCAGUGAAAUGCGUAGAUAUGCGGAGGAACACCGAUGGCGAAGGCAAUCCCCUGGACCUGUACUGACGCUCAUGCACGAAAGCGUGGGGAGCAGACAGGAUUAGAUACCCUGGUAGUCCACGCCCUAAACGAUGUCAACUGGUUGUUGGGUCUUCACUGACUCAGUAACGAAGCUAACGCGUGAAGUUGACCGCCUGGGGAGUACGGCCGCAAGGUUG
rnacentral:rRNA from 1 species